GGUUGACCUCGGAUCAGGUAGGGAUACCCGCUGAACUUAAGCAUAUCAUA
rnacentral:rRNA from 5 species